UACGUAGGGUGCGAGCGUUAAUCGGAAUUACUGGGCGUAAAGCGUGCGCAGGCGGCGCGUUAAGACAGGUGUGAAAGCCCCGAGCUUAACUUGGGAAUUGCGCUUGUGAUUGGCGUGCUGGAGUGUGGCAGAGGGAGGUGGAAUUCCACGUGUAGCAGUGAAAUGCGUAGAGAUGUGGAGGAACACCGAUGGCGAAGGCAGCCUCCUGGGCCAGCACUGACGCUCAUGCACGAAAGCGUGGGGAGCAAACAGG
rnacentral:rRNA from 1 species